rnacentral:rRNA from 1 species
GGCUCAACCAANGUAUGCUUUGGAAACUGUUAGACUNGAGUGCAGAAGGGGAGAGUGGAAUUCCAUGUGUAGCGGUGAAAUGCGUAGAUAUAUGGAGGAACACCGGUGGCGAAAGCGGCUNUCUGGUCUGUCACUGACGCUGAGGCUCGAAAGCGUGGGUAGCGAACAGGAUUAGAUACCNUGGUAGUCCACGCCGUAAACGCUGAGUGCUAGGUGUUAGGUCCUUUCCGGGACUUAGUGCCGACGCUAACGCAUUAAGCACUCCGCCUGGGGAGUACGACCGCAAGGUUGAAACUCAAAGGAAUUGACGGGGGCCCGCACAAGCGGUGGAGCAUGUGGUUUAAUUCGAAGCAACGCGAAGAACCUUACCAGGUCUUGACAUCCCGAUGCCCGCUCUAGAGAUAGAGUUUUACUUUUUGUACAUCGGAGACAGGUGGUGCAUGGUUGUCGUCAGCUCGUGUCGUGAGAUGUUGGGUUAAGUNNNNNNACGAGCGCAACCCUUAUUGUUAGUUGCCAUCAUUAAGUUGGGCACUCUAGCGAGACUGCCGGUAAUAAACCGGAGGAAGGUGGGGAUGAUGUCAAAUCAUCAUGCCCCUUAUGACCUGGGCUACACACGUGCUACAAUGGUUGGUACAACGAGUCGCAAGCCGGUGACGGCAAGCUAAUCUCUGAAAGCCAAUCUCAGUUCGGAUUGUAGGCUGCAACUCGCCUACAUGAAGUCGGAAUCGCUAGUAAUCGCGGAUCAGCACGCCGCGGUGAAUACGUUCCCGGGCCUUGU